rnacentral:rRNA from 1 species
GAUUUCUGGUUGGACAAGCCUGGCCGGCUCCGUAAGGAAGUCUGUGCCGGGACCCUGUCCGCCAUCCUUGCGGGGAAUGGUGCUACCCUUCACUGGGCUGGCAUCACGAACCGCAUCGUUUACUUUGAAAAAAUUAGAGUGUUUAAAGCAGGCUUACGCUAUGAAUACAUUAGCAUGGAAUAAUAAUAUAGGACUUUUGUUCUAUUUUAUUGGUUUCUAGGGCAGAAGUAAUGAUUGAUAGGGAUAGUUGGGGGUGCUAGUAUUCAGAGGCCAGAGGUGAAAUUCUUGGAUUCUCUGAAGACUAACUUAUGCGAAAGCAUU